rnacentral:tRNA from 1 species
GCUAGCUCAGUCGGUAGAGCGUUGGACUCUUAAUCCAACGGUCGUGGGUUCGAUACCUUACAGCG